CCAAUAGCGUAUAUUAAAGUUGUUGCAGUUAAAAAGCUCGUAGAUGAACUUCGGGAUCAAUGGAUCGGUCAUGCCAUCGGUAUGUACUGGUCUCAUUGGUUCUCACCUUCUAAGGAACCAUAAUGUCAUUCAUUUGAUGUUUUGGGGAAUUAGGACUGUUACCUUGAAAAAAUUAGAGUGUUUAAAGCAGGCUAACGCUUGAAUACAUUAGCAUGGAAUAAUGAAAUAGGACAUCGCAUUCUAUUUUGUUGGUUUCUAGGAUCGAUGUAAUGAUUAAUAGGGAUAGUUGGGGGCAUUAGUAUUCAAUUGUCAGAGGUGAAAUUCUUGGAUUUAUUGAAGACUAACUACUGCGAAAGCAUUUGCCAAGGAUGUUUUCAUUAAUCAAGAACGAAAGUUAGGGGAUCGAAGACGAUCAGAUACCGUCGUAGUCUUAACCAUAAACUAUGCCGACUAGGGAUCGGAUGAUGUUAAUUUUAUAAUGACUCAUUCGGCACCUUACG
rnacentral:rRNA from 1 species